UACGGGGGGAGCAAGCGUUGUUCGGAUUUACUGGGCGUAAAGGGCGCGUAGGCGGUAGCACAAGUCAGUUGUGAAAUCUCCGGGCUUAACUCGGAAAGGUCAACUGAUACUGUGCGACUAGAGUGCAGAAGGGGCAACUGGAAUUCUCGGUGUAGCGGUGAAAUGCGUAGAUAUCGAGAGGAACACCUGCGGCGAAGGCGGCUCUCUGGGCCUUACCUGACGCUGAGGAGCGAAAGCGUGGGUAGCGAACAGG
rnacentral:rRNA from 1 species